UUAGCUCAGUUGGUAGAGCAUGGCGCUUGCAAUGCUAGGAUAGUGGGUUCGAUUCCAUA
rnacentral:tRNA from 1 species